rnacentral:lncRNA from 1 species
CCUCUUCAUAUGGUUCCGAUUCUAUACCACCAAAAAGGUAAGGAUGACUACAUACUUUUCGAAGUUGAAUUAUCUGGAAGUGAGUCUGCAGGUUAGUAUUAGGGAGGAUACAAGUUGAGCUCUAACAAAUAGAUCUCCAAGUCCAAAGCAUUUUUCUUACCCUUUAAAGGCUAAAACAGCUACUUAAGCAUGAUAUUUAUGACAAAAUGAAGUGGAGAUGCUAAUAUACUUAAUGAACUCUCAUCGAAUGUAGAUUCAACUUAGAAAAGCAUGAAGGUCUAUUGAAAAAGAAUGUCAAUAAACUUCUCUGAAUAUGCAAAAAUAUUUGCCAGCAAGCUUUUGCUCUUACUUCCACCAGAUAACAUGAACUCCAAAUUUUCUUCUUUACUUGAAAUAGUAAAAUUCUGGAGAAUCAGGAUAUAUAACUUUAUUCUAUGAGAGUACAGAGAGAUUCUUGAAAGAGAUAUAACGUUGACAUAGAUAAGGCUUACCCGAAAGAGGAGCGUGGGCUUGUCAAGUGUUGAAAUCGUUAUUUCAUACAAAGGCCUGCGAAACACAAGUAUAAAAAGAUGGAAUUAAUAAAUUCUCUCCCUGAUUAUAACAGCAUCAUAAACUUGCCAAAUCUUGACACACAACGAUUAAGGAAAAGAACAAAGUGAAGGCAAAAUCAGGAGAAAUGUAUCAGAAUAUUACCGAAAUGACAGUGAAUUUCCACACACAACACCAUUUCCAUCUACAUGAGGGACUAGUUACUAGUUAGAUUCUUUCUAGGAUUUUGGAGGAAUCAACCCUUAACUUGAAUUUGGAUUGCACUAUGGUCAGUGGUGUAUCUAGGAUUUUAAGGUUGUGAACUUCCUUUAAUAUAAAUUUCUACCAAUCACAUAGUAGAAGUUCACAACUAAUUCAAAUGUAAUAGCGAAAAUAGAUCAUGGUAAAAAUACGACUUAAAUUGUCUUUACCGAAAAAAAUAUCAAAAAUUCAUGAAUAUACAGAGAACUCGUACCGAGGAAGCAAGGCCAUAUCUAUCGAGAAGGUUUGCGAAUCCAAAAUCACAUGUGUAAAAAAAGUAAACAUAUUUGAUUCACAUAUAAUAUAGAAACAAGGAGGGUGCUAUCAUGCACUUGGUUGUCAUUCUUACCUGGUCGGAUGUCAUUGUGCUUUGUGACAAAAAUGUUAGAUAACUGAAAUAAAUCGAAAUACUUCAUGUUAAAACAGGUCAUACAAGGAAAGCUCAUUAAUAAAUCAGGGCCUAUUUAUACCUUCACGUCUCUGUGUAGAACACGGUUGGAGUGCAGAUAAUCUACCGCCAGUAAUAGCUGAGUCAGCCAUUUGCAGAGUUUCUGCAGUGGAAAAAGUUGAUGAACACAUAAACUUUAAGUGAACCACUCUAGUAUGAGAACCCAUUAUGAUGGAAGUUGUAUCCAAACUACCUCUUCUGGGAAGAGAUCUCCUCUAGACUUCCUUAUGAUCUUUGCCCUGAUCACCCAAAAAAACAAAAAAAGUCAUUAUCUUCAUAUUACACCAUAAAACAUUCCCAUGAUCUUAUCGCUUUCAACCUAGUAAUUUCGGGAAAGGUUUCUAAAGAUUCUUCAUAUAAAAGCAUCAUAAGUUAGUUCAGUCUACAAAUAUGUUUUGACCAUCUUUUGGGAGAAACGUAAAAUUCAUAUGUGAAUAAGUAUAAAAAUGCUAACAAGGCUAGGAUAACCACUCAUAUAUCUCCACCUUCACAAUAUGUCAAUAAGUAUUAAAAUGCUAGCAAGGCUAGCAUAUCCAGUUCCCUUGAAAGAAAAACAAAGUCAAUCUGGUUUUGAGGCAACUCGAUAUAGAAUUUUUCUCAAGUACAUGAUAAUCAUUUUAGUUCCAAAUACUAUUCUAGAAACUGAAUAACAUAAUAACUUCUCGACCCCAGCAUCCUUGUACUCCAUGAUAUAUGGAUUGAUUAACUUAGCUAUCAGAUCUAUCUGCCAUAGAAUAAUAAAUACACAAAUAUCAUCAGAUAUCAAUUAGCUUAACAUUAUGUAGACCUAUCUACUCAACAUGAUAUCAUUCCAAGACAAAGUGAAAUUUACUCUAUAACCUGCAGACACAAGGUUCUAAACAAGACAAUGGCUUGCACGACGAUUCUGCUUCGCUUUCAAAAACUAAUGACUUUUUAGAGUGAAAUUGAUAUGAUUCGACUAACAAGACCCUAUAGCUAUUCAGUUUAAUUUCCAAGUUCUAAAAUUAGGUAGACAAACUGUUAACACGAUCUAAAGCAGGCAAGUUGAAUAAGAUUUUAAGGCUAAAGUUGAAUACAGAUAUAAAGCAGGCAAGUUGAAUCAGAUAUAAAGCAAGGAAGUUGGAAAAACAUCAUUUAACCUUCACAUGUAGAAUAGAAAGGGCAAAGAAUCAACUGAUGAAGCUAAAAUGCGAGCUAGACACCCAAAAAUCGUAUAAAAAACACAAGAAUAUCAAAACCCUAAAGCUAAAAUUUAGACUUUCAAAGAUAGAAUUUCUUACCUGAUAAACCCUAUACCAACAAAAUCGUGUUCUUCAGUGAGAAUUAUGACGGAAAUCAUGUUCCUCAUCGUGUUCUUCACCGAGAAAUCUGAGAGAAAAGCGUGACAAAGAGACUUAGCUUCAGUUCAUCUGUGACAGAGAGACUUAGCUUCAGC